UUUUAGUAGAGAUGGGGUUUCACCACAUUGUUUAGGCUGGUCUUCAUUUUACAUUUCUCUCUCUGAAAUUAUCUUAUUUACCUAUUUGUUUAGGUGUUAGAAGUGGAAGAAUUUCUAAUUUCCACUAAAAAUUGAAGGAUGAGAGCAGGGUUUUGGUUCUCUUGCCUCUCCCAUGCGACCCCAUAGAAGCACUAAAAAAAAUUGUUUGAAAAUGAAUCAUGUAAAGAAUGAAUGAAGGAAGCUGCUACAUUUACAGCAGACUAAAGGGCUAUAGCAGAGUUUCCUGCAGAUGUGUGAAGAACCAUCCUGGAACACAUCAAGGGAACUGUGGUAUAAGACUUACUCCAGACAUAAGAGUAAUCCUUACACUUAGGAUUAGCAAGUGGAAUUUAAGGAGUCUCAAUUUGGCUCAAAAUAAGCAGGAGCUUUUUGCUAAUUUGGCCAGUCUGACAAUAGUACAAAUAGCACAAAGUCGUAAUAGAGUUGUACUGAAAGCAAAUAACCAAACAAUGCAUAAUUGUGAAUUGGAGAAAUUAUACAACACAGCCUUUAUAAAUAGAAAGCUGAACUAAAUAAAGGCUAAAGUCAUCUACAUCUGAAGAACCUCUCCAUGCAUAGUACCUAAUAUGGUUUAGAUAUAUCGCCACCCAAAUCUCUUGUGGAAUUGUAGGUCCCAUAAUCCCCAUGUGUCAUGGGAGGGACCUAGUGGGAGGUAACUGAGUCGGGGGCUGGGUUUUUCCCAGGCUGUUAUCAUGAUAGUGAAUACGUAUCAUGAGAUAUGAUAGUUUUAUAAAGCAUAGUUCCCCUGCACACACUGUCUUGCCUGCCUCCACGUAAGAUGUGACUUUUCUCCUCCUUCGCCUUCUGCCAUAAUUGUGAGUCCACAUGGAACUAUUUCAUUUCAUCUAGAAUUCAUGGACCAUAAGGGCUCCCGAAGAAAAGUCAGAAGCAACAUUGCUUAGUAUAUGGCAGAGAUCAAACUAUGGCCGAGGACUAGCUUGGGACUGCCUGUGCUUCUCAUUCCUGUCUGAGGAAAGGUGGGGAGGGCUCAGAAGUGCACAGAGAGAAGGUGUUCGAUAUUGUAUAAUGUUUGACCUGCAGCCAUCUGUUCACUCAACUUAUGCAUUUACUUUUGUUCAAGCAACAAAUAUCUCUGGCUUCCCUACUAUGCCAGACACUCUCCUAUAUACAGAGGUGGAGAAAAUAAACUCUGUUCUCAUGGAGUUAACAGUGUGAAGGGAGAGAAACAACAAGGAAUAAAUGAAUAAAUAAAAUGCAUUUGUGGCAAAUGCUAUGAAAGGAAAAAUAGUACCUUGUGAAAUGAAGCUCUUCGAUGAAAACUUCUAAUGCAGGGGUGGAUGGUACUGGCAUGUAAUCCCCACAUUUUUUUUUUUUUUUUUGGUUGAGAACAAUAUUUCCACCACUCAGCGACAACCCUGAACUCCAACAAACCCUGUAGAAACAAAACAAGAAGAGGGCAAAAUCAAGUUUGUCACAGGGAUACACAUAGACGUCUCACAGCGGGAAUUUAAAACCCUGGUUUCUCAGGGGACUGUCUUUAUAUUCACCACCAGAGCACCUGAUGGGGUAAAACAAAGUAGGUGAUAACUAUCAUGGAUUUGGCACAACUGGGGACAGUGAUAGAGUCUGCACUUGUCAACAAGAUAGACAAGAAAACUGGGCACGAUUUUGACCAAAGAGAGCUAAGAAGGGCGAGUUACAGGGAUCAGAAAAACAGGGUAAUGAUGACCAAGUGCACGUGUCUGUAAUGUUUUCUUAUUCCCUGGUAACCUUAUGACAUAGUUCUAAUUCAACCACAAAUAUAACAGAGGAGCAUGAGCCUAUAAUAUGUCACGUAUUUUAUUAUGUUUUAUUAUAUGCCACAUUAAGUCUGUAUUUGUGGCCAAAAACAUAAAAUAGCACUGCUUUUAGACACAGCAAGAUUAUAUACUCCUACAGGAAAAGAGCUUUGGAAAGUUCAUCUAAUCUUCUUUGUUUUCCAAUUUGAAGCAGAGAUGAAUAACUGAAAGCUUUCAAUGUGGACAUCAGUGAGGACAUUUCUCCAGGACCUUUGCCUGAAAGACUUACCUGGGAUUCCUAGAGUUUUAAUUAUUCAUUCUUAGUAGGCCAUAGGGGUCAGCCUGUAUAGAGAAUCUGAAAACCAGAACAAGAUUAGAAGGUGGUAUCAGACUACUGUAUAUAGCAGAGUUUCCACAGUCAAACAUAAGGCUUGAAAUCCAAGCUUAACUAAUUGCUAUGUGAACUUUGGCCAAUUACUCAAGCACUAUAUUAGUCAGGACCUAACUGGGAUUCAGAUGCCACAUGAAUAUUUAAGCAGAAUGACUUUAAUGCAGAAUUUGCACAGGUGAUGAACCAGCUUAGAAGCCUAAUAGAAGAUAGCAAUUCUGACAUUAGCAAUAGCACGAGCCACCACUCCCUUAGACCAGAGGGAAAAGAGGGAGGGAGUGGUGAUGCUACAGCUAGAAGACUAGGAUUAUUUCAGAAGCUGGCUCCAUGGCAGGUCUCAUUGUCAGAAGCUGAAACCAAAGAAGAGAUGUAGACGCUGCAAGGGACACAGACAGAAACAAGGGGGUAGAAAGAUCUGCCUCCCUUCUAUUGGCUACCCCAAUCUCUCUUCAGUGUCUGCAAAUGACCAAAUCAAGCCAGAAAUUCACUGACACAGAAGCCUGGAGAACACAGGCUGAAGGUGUCAGCUGUCCUGCAAUAUAGAGCUCAGCUCAAUGUGGGCACGUGAUCCUGAGGUUGUUAUUCUUAAAACCGUCAUUGUCAAGAAAUAUUUAAAAUGUAGUCAGUGGUAUGCUGAUAAAUGUAUAACAAUUGACUUUCCUUGGGGAGAGCCCUGACUUGCGUAGCUGGUUCCUAUGGUGUGGAUACUUUCAUCAUGUCUAAUUUCCAACUGCCUAUGUGAAGGCACUGAACAUGGCACUGUGAAGAUUGGCUCAUACACGUGGGUAUAAGUUGGCUCUAGAACAACACUGAAAGUAGGCAUAUAAAGAAAAUAGCAGAAAUACUCUACAGAUCCAGUAGAAAAAAAAAAUGCCACUACUAGUGGUUGAAAAUUGCAGGGAAAUAGGGUUUGGGGCUCUCUUUAACAAAAACUACUAAAAUUUGGACUAUCCCCUUGUGAGUCCAUAUAUUCUUCACAAUUGGGGCCACAUUCACUAGAUACCUGGUAAUUCUUUACAGAUAUUUUUUACAAACUCUGUAUUGCACAGCCUUGAUGGUUCAUGUGUUUGCUAUCCAGAGAGGAAUCCCAAACUUCUAUAUUGUUUUGGAGCCAGGUUGUAAUCCCUUGUCUAUAUAACUUUUCCUGACAUUGGAGAGGUGACUCUCAAUAGGAAUUGUUUUGCAUCUCAUUUUUGAUGCUAUCUUGAUGCUUCCUCUUUUCCUUCCUUCAGUUUAUAUCAGACUGUUUCUCCCCGCAUGUCUCAUUACCUUUGUCAUCUUGUCAUUGAACAAAGCAAGGGGAAACUAACAUAGCUCUUCAGAGUGCUUAUGCUUGGGUUUCUGAUUUCUGACUCUAUGGUUAUGUGAAAGCCCUACAGCCAUCAAUAGACUAGUCAAUUCUUCUAAGGAGCAAUCCACAGACUUGUUGAAUUACUAUUGCUUUCGACAAUUUAGGAGGCAAUCUCUUGGGCACACAUCAAUCCUUGUACCUUAGUGUGGGAUUGGCAAGUCUGAAAACAUGCUAGAGAAUGCACACCUGGUAUCUGGAAAUACAAAUAUUCUAAUAUAUGGUCAAAUUUAUAUGAGUAAAAUAUCCUUAGCAAAAUGUGUCUCUUUUAUUUUCUCUGUUUUACAUAUUGUGUUGGAAUCAAUCAAGAGUUAGCCCAUUUAU
rnacentral:lncRNA from 1 species